GAUCAUUACAGCGAAGCGGCGCGAGCCGCCUUUCGAACCACCGCGUACCGAACCCCCCACGUUGCCUCGGCGGGCGCCGGGCGCCCCGCGCCCGCCCCGCCGAACGGCCCCCCAGCAAGACCCCUUCCGUCGAGAUGGCGUCGUCUGAACCCUCCGGGGAAAACGUUUCUGAAACGAAAAACACAACUUUCAACAAUGGAUCUCUUGGCUCCGGCAUCGAUGAAGAACGCAGCGAAACGCGAUAGCUAGUGUGAAUUGCAGAUUUCAGUGAAUCAUCGAGUCUUUGAACGCACAUUGCGCCUCUUGGUAUUCCUCGAGGCAUGCCUGUUCGAGCGUCGUUACGCCCCUCAAGCGCGAGCUUGGUGUUGGGGACCGCCCCUGAGACACGGCGGCGGCCCCGGAAUGCAUCGGCGGUGCUGGUCCCAGCCCGGAGCGCAGCAGACAUGCGGCUCCGCGGGCGGGGCCGGCGCCCGCCGGACAAACGACGAGACCCCUCCACAAGUCG
rnacentral:misc_RNA from 1 species